rnacentral:rRNA from 1 species
UAGGGAAUCUUCGGCAAUGGACGAAAGUCUGACCGAGCAACGCCGCGUGAGUGAAGAAGGUUUUCGGAUCGUAAAACUCUGUUGUUAGAGAAGAACAAGGACGUUAGUAACUGAACGUCCCCCGACGGUAUCUAACCAGAAAGCCACGGCUAACUACGUGCCAGCAGCCGCGGUAAUACGUAGGUGGCAAGCGUUGUCCGGAUUUAUUGGGCGUAAAGCGAGCGCAGGCGGUUUCUUAAGUCUGAUGUGAAAGCCCCCGGCUCAACCGGGGAGGGUCAUUGGAAACUGGGAGACUUGAGUGCAGAAGAGGAGAGUGGAAUUCCAUGUGUAGCGGUGAAAUGCGUAGAUAUAUGGAGGAACACCAGUGGCGAAGGCGGCUCUCUGGUCUGUAACUGACGCUGAGGCUCGAAAGCGUGGGGAGCAAACAGG